CCAAUCGAACCCGGAGAUAGCUGGUUCUCCUCGAAAUAGCUUUAGGGCUAGCCUCAUGAGAGUCUUAUGGAGGUAGAGCACUGAAUUGCCUAGGGGGCGUCAAAGCUUACCAAAGCAUAUCAAACUCCGAAUGCCAUCAAGAUGAUUCAUGGGAGUCAGACCAUACGAGAUAAGUUGGAUGGUCAAAAGGGAAAGAGCCCAGACCUACAGCUAAGGUCCCAAAGUGCGUGUUAAGUGGAAAAGGAUGUGGGGAUUCUAAGACAACUAGGACGUUGGCUUAGAAGCAGCCAUUCAUUGAAAGAGUGCGUAAUAGCUCACUAGUCGAGAGUCCCUGCGCCGAAAAUGUCCGGGGCUGAAACACGACACCGAAGCUUAGGAAUGUGUAAACAUUGGUAGAGGAGCAUUGCUAGCGGGAUGAAGCCAUACCGUAAGGAGUGGUGGACUGCUAGGAAGAGAGAAUGCCGGAAUGAGUAGCGAGAUGAAGGUGAGAAUCCUUCAGGCCGAAUAUCUAAGGUUUCCAGAGUAAAGCUGAUCUGCUCUGGGUAAGUCGGGACCUAAGGCGAGGUCGAAAGACGUAGUCGAUGGAUAACAGGUUGAAAUUCCUGUACCGCAUAUAAACAGAACUGUGGGGACACAGACAGGGAAUGGAAUCCGGGAAUGGAUAUCCCGGUGCAAGCGAGGUAGGAGUGCUGUUGGCAAAUCCGCAGCACGAUCUGAAGACGUGACGCGUACCGAACAUAAGUAGGGAAGUCCAGGCCCCUGGCUGUCAAGAAAAGCCGCUAUCGUUUUAUAUGUGCCCGUACCGCAAACCGACACAGGUGGAUGAGGAGAGAAUCCUAAGGCCGACGGGAGAAGUAUUGUUAAGGAACUCGGCAAAAUGACUCCGUAACUUCGGGAGAAGGAGUGCCAUGUAAAAGUGGCCGCAGAGAAUUGGCCCAAGCAACUGUUUAGCAAAAACACAGGUCUAUGCAAAACCGAAAGGUGAGGUAUAUGGGCUGACGCCUGCCCGGUGCUGGAAGGUUAAGGGGAGAGGUUAGUCGUAAGGCGAAGCUUUGAACUUAAGCCCCAGUAAACGGCGGCCGUAACUAUAACGGUCCUAAGGUAGCGAAAUUCCUUGUCGGGUAAGUUCCGACCCGCACGAAAGGCGUAAUGAUUUGGGCACUGUCUCAACGAUACACCCGGUGAAAUUGAAAUACCAGUGAAGAUGCUGGUUACCUGCGCCAGGACGGAAAGACCCCAUGGAGCUUUACUCCAGUUUGAUACUGGGAUUCGGCAUGGUAUGUACAGGAUAGGUGGGAGACUGAGAAGGUAUGACGUCAGUUGUACCGGAGUCGCUGUUGGGAUACCACCCUUACCAUGUUGGAUUUCUAACCUGUGGCCGUGAUCCGGUCAGGGGACAAUGUCAGGCGGGGAGUUUGACUGGGGCGGUCGCCUCCGAAAGGGUAUCGGAGGCGCUCAAAGGUUCCCUCAGAAUGGUUGGAAACCAUUCGAAGAGUGCAAAGGCAGAAGGGAGCUUGACUGCGACACCGACGGGUGGAGCAGGUACGAAAGUAGGGCUUAGUGAUCCGGUGGUAUUAAGUGGGAAUGCCAUCGCUCAACGGAUAAAAGCUACCCUGGGGAUAACAGGCUUAUCACUCCCAAGAGUUCACAUCGACGGAGUGGUUUGGCACCUCGAUGUCGGCUCAUCGCAUCCUGGAGCUGUAGCAGGUUCCAAGGGUUGGGCUGUUCGCCCAUUAAAGCGGUACGCGAGCUGGGUUCAGAACGUCGUGAGACAGUUCGGUCCCUAUCCGGCGCAGGCGGAGGAAAUUUGAUAGGAGCUGUCCUUAGUACGAGAGGACCGGGAUGGACGGACCGCUGGUGUAUCUGUUGUACUGCCAAGUGCAUAGCAGAGUAGCCAAGUCUGGAAGGGAUAAACGCUGAAGGCAUCUAAGCGUGAAGCCCCCCUAAAGAUAAGAUUUCCCAUACCAUAAGGUAGUAAGACCCCUUGAAGACGACGAGGUAGAUAGGGCAGAGGUGGAAGUACGGUAACGUAUGGAGCUGACUGUUACUAAUCGGUCGAGGCUUUAACCAA
rnacentral:rRNA from 1 species